CCAGCUUUGUUCUCUGGGAGAGUUUUGCUCAGUAUGGUGCUCUUUUUCCUUCUUCAUCUGAUGUCCUUCCUCCAGGUGUUCCGGUUUGCUGCAUUAUCUGUGGACCCUCUGCCAGUCCCCACGCUCUCCACGGACCCCAGUUAUCAGCUGCCUGGCUCCAGCUCACAGCUGCAAAAGCGUCCAGUGGAGAGUACACUUGCAUGUACUGGGUGGAGGAUUCUGGACAAGAAAUCUCUUCCAAUAGGAGCCUUCCUCUUUCAGUUAAGGUGCAGGAUGCUCCCAUGGCUCCAAUUUUGUCCCUGGAUCCUCAGCAACAGGUCUACAUAUCUGGGGACUAUGUCAAGCUGCUCUGCUCUGUCCCCUCAUCUCCAGACUAUGUUAGAGAAAUCCAGUACUACGGGGACUUUGGACUUGCAAUCUCUAUCCCAGUAUCAAACAUUAAAAACUACAGUUACAAUCUCAAGAUCACAGGAGAGGAGGUCUCUGGGUCUUACAGUUGUGCCUAUUUUGUAUUUUGGUCUAGACGUGCUGUUCGCUCAGAGAAGAGUCGCUGGGUCCAUGUCUAUGUGA
rnacentral:lncRNA from 1 species